rnacentral:rRNA from 1 species
GACGGGGGAUGCAAGUGUUAUCCGGAAUCACUGGGCGUAAAGCGUCUGCAGGUGGUUUCCUAAGUCCACUGUUAAACCUUGAGGCUCAACCUCAAAUCUGCAUUGGAAACUAGGAGACUUGAGUAUAGUAGGGGUAGAGGGAAUUUCCAGUGGAGCGGUGAAAUGCGUAGAUAUUGGAAAGAACACCGAUGGCGAAGGCACUCUACUGGGCUAUUACUGACACUCAUAGACGAAAGCUAGGGGAGCAAAUGGG